rnacentral:rRNA from 1 species
GACGAACGCUGGCGGCGUGCUUAACACAUGCAAGUCGAACGAAGAGCGAUGGAAGCUUGCUUCUAUCAAUCUUAGUGGCGAACGGGUGAGUAACGCGUAAUCAACCUGCCCUUCAGAGGGGGACAACAGUUGGAAACGACUGCUAAUACCGCAUACGAUCUAAUCUCGGCAUCGAGGAUAGAUGAAAGGUGGCCUCUACAUGUAAGCUAUCACUGAAGGAGGGGAUUGCGUCUGAUUAGCUAGUUGGAGGGGUAACGGCCCACCAAGGCGAUGAUCAGUAGCCGGUCUGAGAGGAUGAACGGCCACACUGGGACUGAGACACGGCCCAGACUCCUACGGGAGGCAGCAGUGGGGAAUCUUCCGCAAUGGACGAAAGUCUGACGGAGCAACGCCGCGUGAGUGAUGACGGCCUUCGGGUUGUAAAGCUCUGUUAAUCGGGACGAAAGGCCUUCUUGCGAAUAGUGAGAAGGAUUGACGGUACCGGAAUAGAAAGCCACGGCUAACUACGUG